rnacentral:piRNA from 1 species
AGAAAACCCAUACCUUGUAAGAAU